ACGGAAGGCAGCAGUGGGGGAUAUUGCACAAUGGGGGGAACCCUGAUGCAGCGACGCCGCGUGAGCGAAGAAGAUCUUCGGAUUGUAAAGCUCUGUCUUAGGGGACGAUAAUGACGGUACCCUGAGAGGAAGCCACGGCUAACUACGUGCCAGCAGCCGCGGCAAUACGUAGGUGGCAAGCGUUGUCCGGAAUUACUGGGUGUAAAGGGAGCGCAGGCGGGUCGACAAGUUAGAAGUGAAAAUUACAGGCUUAACUUGUAAGCUGCUUUCAAAACUGCCGAUCUUGAGUGGUGUAGAGGUAGGCGGAAUUCCCGGUGUAGCGGUGGAAUGCGUAGAUAUCGGGAGGAACACCAGUGGCGAAGGCGGCCUACUGGGCUUUAACUGACGCUGAGGCUCGAAAGCAUGGGUAGCAAACAGGAUUAGAUACCCUGGUA
rnacentral:rRNA from 1 species